UACGAAGGGUGCAAGCGUUACUCGGAAUUACUGGGCGUAAAGGGUGCGUAGGUGGUUGUUUAAGUCUGUUGUGAAAGCCCCGGGCUCAACCUGGGAAUGGCAAUGGAUACUGGACAGCUAGAGUGCGGUAGAGGGUAGUGGAAUUCCCGGUGUAGCAGUGAAAUGCGUAGAGAUCGGGAGGAACACCAGUGGCGAAGGCGGCUACCUGGACCAGCACUGACACUGAAGCACGGAAAGCGUGGGGAGCAAACAGG
rnacentral:rRNA from 1 species